GACGAACUCUUGCGGCGUGCUUAACACAUGCAAGUCGAACGGAAAGGCCCUGCUUUUGUGGGGUGCUCGAGUGGCGAACGGGUGAGUAACACGUGAGUAACCUGCCCUUGACUUUGGGAUAACUUCAGGAAACUGGGGCUAAUACCGGAUAGGAGCUCCUGCUGCAUGGUGGGGGUUGGAAAGUUUCGGCGGUUGGGGAUGGACUCGCGGCUUAUCAGCUUGUUGGUGGGGUAGUGGCUUACCAAGGCUUUGACGGGUAGCCGGCCUGAGAGGGUGACCGGCCACAUUGGGACUGAGAUACGGCCCAGACUCCUACGGGAGGCAGCAGUGGGGAAUAUUGCACAAUGGGCGGAAGCCUGAUGCAGCAACGCCGCGUGCGGGAUGACGGCCUUCGGGUUGUAAACCGCUUUCGCCUGUGACGAAGCGUGAGUGACGGUAAUGGGUAAAGAAGCACCGGCUAACUACGUGCCAGCAGCCGCGGUGAUACGUAGGGUGCGAGCGUUGUCCGGAUUUAUUGGGCGUAAAGGGCUCGUAGGUGGUUGAUCGCGUCGGAAGUGUAAUCUUGGGGCUUAACCCUGAGCGUGCUUUCGAUACGGGUUGACUUGAGGAAGGUAGGGGAGAAUGGAAUCCCUGGUGGAGCGGUGGAAUGCGCAGAUAUCAGGAGGAACACCAGUGGCGAAGGCGGUUCUCUGGGCCUUUCCUGACGCUGAGGAGCGAAAGCGUGGGGAGCGAACAGGCUUAGAUACCCUGGUAGUCCACGCUGUAAACGGUGGGUACUAGGUGUGGGGUCCAUUCCACGGGUUCCGUGCCGUAGCUAACGCUUUAAGUACCCCGCCUGGGGAGUACGGCCGCAAGGCUAAAACUCAAAGGAAUUGACGGGGCCCCGCACAAGCGGCGGAGCAUGCGGAUUAAUUCGAUGCAACGCGUAGAACCUUACCUGGGUUUGACAUGGAUCGGGAGUGCUCAGAGAUGGGUGUGCCUCUUUUGGGGUCGGUUCACAGGUGGUGCAUGGCUGUCGUCAGCUCGUGUCGUGAGAUGUUGGGUUAAGUCCCGCAACGAGCGCAACCCUUGUUCACUGUUGCCAGCACGUUAUGGUGGGGACUCAGUGGAGACCGCCGGGGUCAACUCGGAGGAAGGUGGGGAUGACGUCAAGUCAUCAUGCCCCUUAUGUCCAGGGCUUCACGCAUGCUACAAUGGCUGGUACAGAGAGUGGCGAGCCUGUGAGGGUGAGCGAAUCUCGGAAAGCCGGUCUCAGUUCGGAUUGGGGUCUGCAACUCGACCUCAUGAAGUCGGAGUCGCUAGUAAUCGCAGAUCAGCAACGCUGCGGUGAAUACGUUCCCGGG
rnacentral:rRNA from 1 species